GUGGGGAAUAUUGGACAAUGGGCGCAAGCCUGAUCCAGCCAUGCCGCGUGAGUGAUGAAGGCCUUAGGGUUGUAAAGCUCUUUCACCGAUGAAGAUAAUGACGGUAGUCGGAGAAGAAGCCCCGGCUAACUUCGUGCCAGCAGCCGCGGUAAUACGAAGGGGGCUAGCGUUGUUCGGAUUUACUGGGCGUAAAGCGCACGUAGGCGGUUUGUUAAGUCAGAGGUGAAAUCCCGGAGCUCAACUCCGGAACUGCCUUUGAUACUGGCAAGCUAGAGUCCGGAAGAGGUAAGUGGAACUCCUAGUGUAGAGGUGGAAUUCGUAGAUAUUAGGAAGAACACCAGUGGCGAAGGCGGCUUACUGGUCCGGAACUGACGCUGAGGUGCGAAAGCGUGGGGAGCAAACAGGAUUAGAUACCCCUGUAGUCC
rnacentral:rRNA from 1 species